rnacentral:rRNA from 1 species
AACGUAGGAGGCAAGCGUUAUCCGGAUUUACUGGGCGUAAAGGGCGUCUAGGUGGUUGGGAAAGUUGGCUGUGAAAGCUCCUGGCUCAACUGGGAGAGGUCAGUCAAAACUGCCUGACUUGAGGGUCGGAGAGGGGUGUGGAAUUCCCGGUGUAGCGGUGGAAUGCUUAGAGAUCGGGAGGAACACCAGUGGCGCAGGCGACACCCUGGCCGACAACUGACACUGAAGCGCGAAAGCGUGGGGAGCAAACAGG